UACGUAGGGUGCGAGCGUUGUCCGGAAUUAUUGGGCGUAAAGAGCGUGUAGGCGGUCCGGUAAGUCGGCUGUGAAAGUCCAGGGCUCAACCCUGGGAUGCCGGUCGAUACUGCCGGACUAGAGUUCGGAAGAGGAGAGUGGAAUUCCUGGUGUAGCGGUGAAAUGCGCAGAUAUCAGGAAGAACACCCGUGGCUAAGGCGGCUCUCUAGUACGGUACUGACGCUGAGACGCGAAAGCGUGGGGAGCGAACAGG
rnacentral:rRNA from 1 species